GAUGAGAUGCCCAAUUCUAUGUAAAGUGCUUUCGAAGAGUCGAGUUGUUUGGGAAUGCAGCUCUAAGUGGGUGGUAAAUUCCAUCUAAAGCUAAAUAUUGGCGAGAGACCGAUAGCGAACAAGUACAGUGAUGGAAAGAUGAAAAGAACUUUGAAAAGAGAGUGAAAAAGUACGUGAAAUUGUUGAAAGGGAAGGGCUUGAGAUCAGACUUGGUAUUUUGCGAUCCUUUCCUUCUUGGUUGGGUUCUCCGCAGCUUACUGGGCCAGCAUCGGUUUGGAUGGUAGGAUAAUGAUUAAGGAAUGUGGCUCUACUUCGGUGGAGUGUUAUAGCCUUGGUUGAUACUGCCUGUCUAGACCGAGGACUGCGUCUUUGACUAGGAUGCUGGCAUAAUGAUCUUAAGCCACCCGUCUUGAAACACGGACCAAGGAGUCUAACGUCUAUGCGAGUGUUUGGGUGUAAAACCCGUACGCGUAAUGAAAGUGAACGUAGGUGAGAGCUCUUAAGAGUGCAUCAUCGACCGAUCCUGAUGUCUUCGGAUGGAUUUGAGUAAGAGCAUAGCUGUUGGGACCCGAAAGAUGGUGAACUAUGCCUGAAUAGGGUG
rnacentral:rRNA from 1 species